UACAGAGGGUGCGAGCGUUGUCCGGAAUCACUGGGCGUAAAGGGCGCGUAGGCGGCCUGGUAAGUCGGGGGUGAAACGCUGGGGCUCAACCCCAGCACUGCCUUCGAGACUGUCAGGCUUGAGCACGGUAGAGGCUGGUGGAAUUCCCGGUGUAGCGGUGGAAUGCGUAGAGAUCGGGAAGAACAUCGGUGGCGAAGGCGGCCAGCUGGGCUGUUGCUGACGCUGAUGCGCGACAGCGUGGGGAGCGAACAGG
rnacentral:rRNA from 1 species